rnacentral:rRNA from 1 species
AUUGAACGCUGGCGGCGUGCUUAACACAUGCAAGUCGUGCGGUAACAGGCGUAGCAAUACGUGCUGACGAGCGGCGAACGGGUGCGUAAUACAUGGGAAUCUGCCCUUUGGUGGGGAAUAACCCGGCGAAAGCCGGGCUAAUGCCGCAUAAGAUCUUCGGAUGAAAGCGGGGGAUCGUAAGACCUCGCGCCGAUGGAUGAGCCCAUGUCGGAUUAGCUAGUUGGNGAGGUAACGGCUCACCAAGGCGACGAUCCGUAGCUGGUCUGAGAGGACGGCCAGCCACACUGGGACUGAGACACGGCCCAGACUCCUACGGGAGGCAGCAGUGGGGAAUAUUGGACAAUGGGCGAAAGCCUGAUCCAGCGA